rnacentral:rRNA from 1 species
AGCUAAGGUCCCAAAGUCAUGGUUAAGUGGGAAACGAUGUGGGAAGGCCCAGACAGCCAGGAUGUUGGCUUAGAAGCAGCCAUCAUUUAAAGAAAGCGUAAUAGCUCACUGGUCGAGUCGGCCUGCGCGGAAGAUGUAACGGGGCUAAACCAUGCACCGAAGCUGCGGCAGCGACGCUGAUGCGUUGUUGGGUAGGGGAGCGUUCUGUAAGCCUGUGAAGGUGUGCUGUGAGGCAUGCUGGAGGUAUCAGAAGUGCGAAUGCUGACAUAAGUAACGAUAAAGCGGGUGAAAAGCCCGCUCGCCGGAAGACCAAGGGUUCCUGUCCAACGUUAAUCGGGGCAGGGUGAGUCGACCCCUAAGGCGAGGCCGAAAGGCGUAGUCGAUGGGAAACAGGUUAAUAUUCCUGUACUUGGUGUUACUGCGAAGGGGGGACGGAGAAGGCUAUGUUGGCCGGGCGACGGUUGUCCCGGUUUAAGCGUGUAGGCUGGUUUUCCAGGCAAAUCCGGAAAACUAAGGCUGAGGCGUGAUGACGAGGCACUACGGUGCUGAAGCAACAAAUGCCCUGCUUCCAGGAAAAGCCUCUAAGCAUCAGGUAACAUCAAAUCGUACCCCAAACCGACACAGGUGGUCAGGUAGAGAAUACCAAGGCGCUUGAGAGAACUCGGGUGAAGGAACUAGGCAAAAUGGUGCCGUAACUUCGGGAGAAGGCACGCUGAUAUGUAGGUGAAGUCCCUCGCGGAUGGAGCUGAAAUCAGUCGAAGAUACCAGCUGGCUGCAACUGUUUAUUAAAAACACAGCACUGUGCAAACACGAAAGUGGACGUAUACGGUGUGACGCCUGCCCGGUGCCGGAAGGUUAAUUGAUGGGGUCAGCGCAAGCGAAGCUCUUGAUCGAAGCCCCGGUAAACGGCGGCCGUAACUAUAACGGUCCUAAGGUAGCGAAAUUCCUUGUCGGGUAAGUUCCGACCUGCACGAAUGGCGUAAUGAUGGCCAGGCUGUCUCCACCCGAGACUCAGUGAAAUUGAACUCGCUGUGAAGAUGCAGUGUACCCGCGGCAAGACGGAAAGACCCCGUGAACCUUUACUAUAGCUUGACACUGAACAUUGAGCCUUGAUGUGUAGGAUAGGUGGGAGGCUUUGAAGUGUGGACGCCAGUCUGCAUGGAGCCGACCUUGAAAUACCACCCUUUAAUGUUUGAUGUUCUAACGUUGACCCGUAAUCCGGGUUGCGGACAGUGUCUGGUGGGUAGUUUGACUGGGGCGGUCUCCUCCUAAAGAGUAACGGAGGAGCACGAAGGUUGGCUAAUCCUGGUCGGACAUCAGGAGGUUAGUGCAAUGGCAUAAGCCAGCUUGACUGCGAGCGUGACGGCGCGAGCAGGUGCGAAAGCAGGUCAUAGUGAUCCGGUGGUUCUGAAUGGAAGGGCCAUCGCUCAACGGAUAAAAGGUACUCCGGGGAUAACAGGCUGAUACCGCCCAAGAGUUCAUAUCGACGGCGGUGUUUGGCACCUCGAUGUCGGCUCAUCACAUCCUGGGGCUGAAGUAGGUCCCAAGGGUAUGGCUGUUCGCCAUUUAAAGUGGUACGCGAGCUGGGUUUAGAACGUCGUGAGACAGUUCGGUCCCUAUCUGCCGUGGGCGCUGGAGAACUGAGGGGGGCUGCUCCUAGUACGAGAGGACCGGAGUGGACGCAUCACUGGUGUUCGGGUUGUCAUGCCAAUGGCACUGCCCGGUAGCUAAAUGCGGAAGAGAUAAGUGCUGAAAGCAUCUAAGCACGAAACUUGCCCCGAGAUGAGUUCUCCCUGACUCCUUGAGAGUCCUGAAGGAACGUUGAAG